ensembl:snoRNA
UUUCCCCUUCUAACACCGGGGCUUGCUGCCGUCUCGCGGCAGUGCCGGCUUUUUCACGGGGGCAGAGUAACGAGCACUCUUCCCUCCCUGGAGGACGCUAUUCCUCUUCGGGCCUAAGAGAUGCCGACAGU